rnacentral:rRNA from 1 species
ACGAACGCUGGCGGCGUGCUUAACCCAUGCAAGUCGAACGGAAAGGCCCUGCUUUUGUGGGGUGCUCGAGUGGCGAACGGGUGAGUAACACGUGAGUAACCUGCCCUUGACUUUGGGAUAACUUCAGGAAACUGGGGCUAAUACCGGAUAGGAGCUCCUGCUGCAUGGUGGGGGUUGGAAAUUUUCGGCGGUUGGGGAUGGACUCGCGGCUUAUCAGCUUGUUGGUGGGGUAGUGGCUUACCAAGGCUUUGACGGGUAGCCGGCCUGAGAGGGUGACCGGCCACAUUGGGACUGAGAUACGGCCCAGACUCCUACGGGAGGCAGCAGUGGGGAAUAUUGCACAAUGGGCGGAAGCCUGAUGCAGCAACGCCGCGUGCGGGAUGACGGCCUUCGGGUUGUAAACCGCUUUCGCCUGUGACGAAGCGUGAGUGACGGUAAUGGGUAAAGAAGCACCGGCUAACUACGUG